UCUUGCUUAGCAUUUCAAAUAUCCCACAUUGAUUCUGCUGAAAUUUAAUGUUUAGCUCAUUAAAUCUCACGUCUUGCCAUGAUAUUACCCAGAAUCCGCAAAAGGGUAUUUGAAUUAUCUAAGAUGAUUGGCCAAUCCAAUCAGAUUGCUCCCUUUUCUUCUGUGUUCAAUGAAAAAUGUGUUGUAAUGCGGUACCCAUCUUUCAGUUCAGUUAAAUUUCGAACCUUUUGCAGUUCUAGAGUGACACACUUAGCAAAAGUCAGUCCCACUGAGUUAACUCAGUCACCUGGUUCUUUGAUUUCCAACCAGGUUUCUCGGCUGGCUAGAACCGAGGCUCAAGAUGUGUUAUUUGAUUACUUGCAUGGUACUAGGAGCUUAAGCUAUACGGAUGCAGAGCAUAUCAGCAAGAAUUCGCCAUAUUUUAUUCAAAGUUUGUUAUCCAAGAUUGAUGCCGAGAAGGAUGUGACUCGGUCUUUAGCCAGGUUCCUUAGAUACAAUCCAAUUAAUGAGUUUGAACCAUUUUUCGAGAGCUUGGGUUUGAGCCCAUUGGAGAUCUCCUCACUUCUUCCGCAGCACUUGAUGUAUUUGAGUGAUGAUGAUAUCUUGCUUGAGAACUAUCAUGUGUUGUGGGUUUAUGGGAUUCCUCGUAAUAAGAUGGGAAAGAUGUAUAAGGAAGCGAGAGAGAUAUUUGGGUAUGAUUAUGGAAUAUUAAGUUCAAAACUUCAGGCUUAUGAAAAUUUGGGUCUAAGUAGAAACACAGUUAUUAAGCUAGUCAGUUGUUGCCCAUCGCUUUUGAUUGGUGAUGUUGAUGAUCAAUUUAUUAAGGUUCUUGAAAAAUUAAAAGGGCUAGGAUUCAAGAAUGACUGGAUUGGGGGAUACUUAUCUGGUAAGAGCACAUACAAUUGGAAUCGAACAGUUGACACAAUGGAAUUUCUUGAGAAAGUGGGUUAUAGGGAGGAGCAGCUUUGUGAUCUAUUUAAAACAAAUCCAGGGUUAGUCUUUGAGGGUUCUGGGCGGAAGGUUUAUUUGUUGGUUGGCCAGUUACUCAAAUUGGGUUUGAAGAUGAAUGAAAUCUAUUGUUUGUUUAUGCAAAAGCCACAACUGUUGUCUGGAAAAUGUACAAAGAAUCUAUUGCAGGCUGUGGGAUUCUUGGUUGAGAUUGGAAUGAGAAUGGAAAACAUUGCAAAUAUAGUGUCUAAGCAUGCGGAACUUAUGGGUUCAUGUUCUCUUAAAGGACCUAAAACUGUUUGCAGCAGUUUAAAAGUCAACAGAGAUGGUUUAUGUCAAAUUAUAAAAGAUGACCCGUUGAAAUUGUUCCAUUUGGCUUCUAAAACAAAAAUUAAAAUUUAUGAACAGGCGGAACUCCAAAAUCCUAGUAAACAUCUGGAGAAAACAACAUUCUUGUUGAGAUUGGGGUAUGUAGAAAACUCAGAAGAGAUGACGAAAGCUUUGAAAAAGUUCCGAGGAAGAGGGGACCAACUACAGGAGAGAUUCGACUGCCUGGUAGAAGCCGGUUUGGACACAAAUAUUGUCAGACGCAUAAUUAAACAUGCGCCAAUGGUGCUUAACCAGAGCAAAGAAGUGAUCGAAAAGAAGAUGGAUUUCUUAAAGAACUGUUUAGGGUAUCCAAUCGACUCUGUAGUGGCAUUUCCAUCAUAUUUAUGUUAUGAUUUGGAGAGGAUUAAUCAUAGAUUUACAAUGUAUGUGUCGCUGAGGGAGAGAGGUGCAGCGAAGCCCAAAUUGUCCUUAAGCACUAUCCUUGCAUGUUCAGAUGCAAAAUUUGUAAAAUAUUUUGUAGAUGUCCACCCUGAAGGUCCAGCCAUCUGGGAAAGUAUAAGGAAAUCGUCAAAUUCAAGCUAAGAUAUCAAGUUCAUGUAUCUGGAUGGCAGUAACAGGCUAAUAGCAGCAUUCAACGGAAUUUUAGAAAUUUCUGUGUGAAAUAUUAGAAGUGGAGAUUGAGAGGGUUGCUACAACAGGCAGUAAAUAUAUUUGGGAGCACGCCGACGGAUUAUCGGAUCUUUAAACAGGAACUAUUUUUUGGAUGAAAUAUAGAUUUAAAAGAAUAAUUCGAUUACCUGCCUCAUAUUUCAGUUGUAUUACAAAUACUCAAAUGGAAUACCUUUUGGCCUAGCUCUGCUGAUACUUAACAAGAUCUUCAGCUCUGUAU